CGUGUAGGUGGGCUUUUAAGUCGGUGGUGAAAUCCUGCAGCUCAACUGCAGAAUUGCCCUCGAUACUGAGAGCCUUGAGUGCGGCAGAGGGAGAUGGAAUUCAUGGUGUAGCGGUGAAAUGUGUAGAUAUCAUGAAGAACACCGGUAGCGAAGGCGGUCUCCUGGUCCGUAACUGACACUGAGGCGCGAAAGCGUGGGGAGCAAACAGGAUUAGAUACCCUGGUAGUCCACGCCUUAAACGAUGGGUACUCGGUGCUGGGCCGCAAGGUUCAGUGCCAAAGCUAACGCAUUAAGUACCCCACCUGGGGAGUACGAUCGCAAGGUUGAA
rnacentral:rRNA from 1 species